GCCAGCAUUUCUCUUGCUCCUGAGCCCGUCAGUCAGACUUAGGGAGGGGAUGGGCUGAGCCUGAACACCUAAGCAACCAAUCAAAGCAAGAAAGGAGGAAGAAGGGAAGUUGUCUGCAGCUCCUCCCUCUCCCUUCCCAGAGAGAAUUUGCCUCACUUGAGUCUUCUGACUGGGAGCCAAAAGCACUCCAGUGAAUCGGGGAGGUGGCGGGGUGCGGGGAGAACUAAGGGAUCUGACACCCAGCCACAGCAGCCCGUAUUUUACAGAUAUAAAAAUAUGUUUACAGAGUUUAUGGACACAUCCAAUUUUAGUUCAUUUAUGCAGACUGCCCAUGUAUUUACAGAUGGUUGGCAACCUGUCAGCAAAAGGUGUUGAAAAUGAACUUGAAAUUACAGAAAGGUUUACGCUUUCUUUCAUCCUUGCCAUUUCAACAGUCUCAUGUAUAACUCAUAUGCAUGAGAUUGCAUACAUAUAUGGUGUAUAUGUGUAAGUCUGUUAUCCGUAGAUAGUGGCCAACAUCCUGACUAAUGAAGCGAGGCUGUAGCGGGAGGCUGCAUCCUUGCAGCCAGAGAUCUCCCUAGUACAGCAACAUGCAUGGGUUGGGUGUGGGUGCCAUUUCUGAUUAUCUUCCCUGGGCCUCUAUGCCAAUGAUCUUUACUAAUUUUUAAGUAGGGACGACUUUGGCAAAAAAAUCUUGAAUGUACGAGCCCUUUUCCUACUCAACAGCCCUCCAUGCAGUGCUGCACUUUUCUCAGAGGCCAUUUAAGAGAAAGAGAGCCCCGUUGAUCCCCAAUGCCAUCUUGGAAGACAUGCACAGAGUACUGGGAAGUAUCAUCCUUCCCCGAGUUUCCCCCUGCAGAACUCUAUGGGAGAAGUGCUCCACAUACCUUCCAAGAUGGUGCUGGGGCUUAAUAAGACUCUGCUUCCCUUCAAGGAGCCCCACUGGCACUGGGGAAAGUGCAGCACCUGCUCAGUGCCUAGGGGGCUAUGCAGAAUAUUCCACUUUGACCAAAGCUUCACAUAGGCCUAAUAAACAAUCAGGGAGCUGUACUUGGUGUCACUGGGAUCCACCACUGGCUCCUGAGCCUUGCAGUGAAGAACACUGCUCUGUGCCUUCCGCAUCCCUCAAGGUCAUUUUCCAAAGGCACAGAGCACUUCCAGAAGCAGAGAAGAUCCAUGAAAAUCACUCCCCAAAAAUGUGUGUGUGCUGCAAUAGUGCAGAAGCUCCCCACUGCAUUAACAGCAUACUCUCACUGUAUCCUCACUUUGUUAAUCAGGAUAUCAGUCAGUGACAUACUGCAUUAAAAUAUCAGCAUUCAAUAAAAAAAAUGAAUUACUGCAGUUGUAACACUGACUUUUCCUUUGUAGUUGGUGUAACAGUGUGAAGAUCCAAAACCAAUUCUGUUUCUAGAAUUCCUAAUUUUCUGUUUUGUAUGUGGUUGGAAUCCUGUUCAGACAAAUGUUGUAUGCAUGGAAAGUGGGGGAUGUGGUUUAAGAAUGCAUUUGUUCAGGGGUAGGGUUUGUCAGUGUGCUCCCAUGGGCCCUGUACCUGGCAGACGGAAGUGCUGUUCACCCACCUGACAUUGGUGAAUUUGUACAACAUAGAGGGUGGGAACUUGUGGCUUACACUGGGUAGGGAUGUGCAGAACUGGUUUGAUUGUGAACUGGGCUGGUUCAAGCUGGUUCAUCGAACCGAGCAGCCCAGCCGAUCACUUCGACUGAACUGGUUUGCAUACCAAUUCAGACCAAACCGCGCCAAAUGGUCCAUGCACCUCUCUAGUGCUGGGAAUGCACUUGCCAAGAACCAGAAGUUUGUGCCACCUUAGUUGCUGUUGUGUCAUGUGAAGCUGCCCACUGAAUCUUUUCAAUGUUUAUCAGCUUUAUUAAUCAGCUUUCUAGUGUUAUUGGUUGCUAUACACUAAUUGAAGUCUGUCUUAAUUUCAAUUAAUUAACUAAUCUAUUAUUUUAAAUAUACAUAGCAGCUCCAUCUUCAGAAUUCUAAGGACAUUUAAUGGAAAGACUCUUUUGAUUAAAUAAUGCAAUUUGAUUUUGUUUGAAAAUUAGCCUAAAUACUUGACAUAAUUAUGAGCAUAGGUUGUUUACAUUAAUGACAUCAGCACAAAUCAACCAUUCUUUCACAGAGCAUCUUGCAUUAAAAUCAGGUGGAAAUGCACAUUAGUUUAAGGAAUUAAUAGUUUAAUUGCACAGUUUAAUCCAUUAAUGCACUCAGCUCUAAUGAAGUAAUGUACUGUAACAAGAGAGCAAACCCAACAGCCCUUUCUCUUUUGUUUUAUCUCUCGGUGUCCUUUUUUGUAUAUUUCACAUACAGGAAUGCACAGAUAAAUAUGAGACACUAUUACUACUAUAUCCUUUAAUAUAAUAUAAGUUUUAUUCUAGGAAAUAACCAUACCAAUAGAACAAUAUUUGGGGCGUGGGGUUAAAUCAAAAAUGUCACAACCAGCUACUCAUAUUAACCAGAGCUGUUAAAACCUGAAAUUUGGCAUCUUUAUGUUUAAAUGACUAGUGUUUUUUCUUUUUAUUAUUAGUCCACACAAUCUCCAUAAUCAGUCACCUGUUUUCCUGGAGUGAAAAAAGAAAUCUUUUAUUGAACCCAUUGAAGCAAAAUAAUAAUAAUAAAUGAGGCUAAUAAUGAAGGAGUCAGUAAAGGAGGCCAGUGCCAUAAGGGUUAUCUCCCAGCCCCAGAUGCUGGAUAAGUUGAAGGAGGCAGAAUCGCUUUGGGAUGACAUUCAGGUCUGAAUGAUUAUUUUGAGAAGAAAAGACUAUUCUUUCCAAGGUUUUCCCCUUCUGUGUGACAAUGAGCUGUCAGCAAUACAGUUCUGAGACAAAAGAUCCACUCCGGGCCGAGCCACACCUAAAGGGAAGCUUUGAAGGAAUUGCCAGGUUCACUUUUAAUAAUGAGAGAAAAAUUACGCACAUGGAGUCGGCAGAAAAUGAAAAAGUAGCAUGCCUACUGUGAAUAAUUUCAGCAAGUGCCAAGGGGCUAGUUGAGAAAUGGUUUUAUGAGAGUUGACUGUUCUGAGAACGCACCAUCAAGAGAAAUAAAGAAUGUUUCCCAAUGCAUCUCAGCGCAAUUUAGAUUUAAAAAAUUUAAAAUGUGAUCUGUUUGAAUAAAGCAAUAUGCAAAGUUUUGCCUUAAUUAAACCAUCAUUCCUGUUUGACAUUAAUCAUUGUGUAAACACUAAUCUUGCUCUACAUAUUUAUUUGGAUGGGUUUCUGUUACACUAAUUUACCAGAAAGAGGGGAAGAACCACAUUAUUCACAAUGUGAAAUAACCAUAGCCUUUUAUUUCACAACUAGGGUACAAUAGCCACAUGUAAAGGGGGAGUAACAUCGUAAUGGUACUCCCAACUGAACUCUUAGUGAAACCUGAGUUCGGAGCUCCAGUUCAGUGACUUAUGUAUCUGUUUACAGAUGAAUAAAUCUACUAUUGUCACCUAAUAUGUGAGUCUCACGCACACUGCUCAGAGAUGCAGUCAAGUGUCCUAUCAACACAACUAUUUUACCUUUCAAGUGUAAAGGUGCUUAUGUUCAUUAUAACCAAAACGUUAUGGUGCUUUGAACUAGUAUGCCAUCAAAAUUACUCCUGGACUUGGUGGCAAAAAUCACCUGGCCUUCUGCUGCUUUAUUUGUUAUUUAGUGAAAAUGUAGACAAUCACUGACAUACCAUGAAACACGGACAGUUGGAACACUGCCUGCAUUACUGUGUGUAAACACCACUGAUGGUGCUAUGGAAAAGAGUGUUCUGCUCUGUCAUAAAGUUGCAACAACACAGUUCUGUGACAUGACGCCCAUUAUUUCCAAAGGGCAUUGCAUCACGCAACUGCCUUUGCACAACUUUAAGAUGGAGCAGUAUAGCCCUGUGCUACCACACCAUUAGUGGUGUUUAAACCUAUGCAGCUGCACAAGCAGUGCUUCAGCUGCCUGUUUUUUGCUGAGCAGUAUGUCAGCGACUGUGCAACUGGGGACAGGAAGUAGGGAUGGAGAAUCUCAUAUGGGAAAUUACAUUUUUCAUUUCCCCAUCACAACCCAACCCCUUACUACCUAUCCCUGCACCAAGUGGUUGUGGCCCUCUUCCCUGUCUUGUGCAAACAUGGAAUUCUGCAUUUAGAUUGAGUCAUGUCAAGAAAUGGUUUUAUCAAGCAAGCUCUCAGUUUGUUAGAUUGAUUUUCUGCAGGCUCUCCCAAGUUGUCUCCUAGAAGAAAGGAAUAGUUUUCCUCCUUCUCUUUAAUACAGCCACACAAUUGGUAAGCAAGAACUCUUCCUGUAUCCAGCUAUGGAACAGGACUUCCAGCAAUCACACUUAAUUUUGGAAGUAUCUUGAAGCUAUGCAGAACUUUGUAGAGGAUAUCAUUGGAAAUACCAAUUGAAACUCAGUUUCAAAAGGAGUAUAACCUAGAAUGUCAUGCAUAUCAAUAUAAAUACAUUGGAACCACCAAAAACUAAAAUGGUAUGACAUAAUAUCUGUAUCAUUAAUAGUACUAGCAUCCAAAAAGAAACAUACUUCAUGAUACUAACCACCAGUAGUUACCUGACACAAUGGAGAAUUAAAAGAAUUGAUGGUGCUGGACUUGGUGAAAAAAUUGUGGGCUUAAAGGCAACUUCUUGCAUUUGUAGUGAGACUUUUUAAAAAUUGUGGGAAAUAUAUCUUGUCAAAUAUUCAAUAAACUAUUUGAUAUCUUUAACAAACUAAAUGAUAUAACAAAUGCUGUGAAAUGCUGUAAAUGUCUAUAACAUGCAUUUAUAAAAUAUUGGAAAAGGCCACACACAAAAAAAGAUAAUGUGGCAGUUUCUGCAAGUAACAAUGCUGAUUUAAUAGAUUUUAAUAAAAAAAAAUCUGAGUAUUCAU